rnacentral:rRNA from 1 species
GACGAACGCUGGCGGCGUGCCUAAUACAUGCAAGUCGAGCGGAAGUUGAAGAGCUUGCUCUUCAACUUUAGCGGCGGACGGGUGAGUAACACGUGGGCAACCUGCCCUGCAGAUCGGGAUAACUCCGGGAAACCGGUGCUAAUACCGAAUAGUUUUCGCCACCUCCUGGUGGCGUACGGAAAGACGGUUUCGGCUGUCACUGCAGGCUGGGCCCGCGGCGCAUUAGCUAGUUGGUGGGGUAACGUCCCACCAAGGCAACGAUGCGUAGCCGACCUGCGGGGGUGAUCGGCCACACGGGGACUGAGACACGGCCCAGACUCCUACGGGAGGCAGCAGGAGGGAAUCUUCCGCAAUGGACGAAAGUCGGACGGAGCAACGCCGCGUGAGUGACGAAGGUUUUCGGAUCGUAAAACUCUGUUGUGAGGGAAGAACAAGUACCACUUAACUACUGGUACCUUGACGGUACCUCACCAGAAAGCCACGGUUAACUACGUGCCAGCCGCCGCCGUAACAC